CCAGGGCCUGGGAAGAGUUUCAUGGCCUGGUGAACAGCAGCGGCCGCUGAAAUGAGCGUCCUCCCUCCCUCUCUCACAGGCCCAGGGGAUAACUCCAGCUUCCGAAACACCAAGAUCGCCUUGUGAUGAGGACGUUGAGGACGCGAUGCCCGCCAGCUCCUCCGCGGUCCGGCCUGGAGACGAGUUGGAAGGCGCCUCCCUCCAACGCCCGGUCCUCGAAGCUUGCGGGACGGCCUGGACCUUUGACCCUUCGAGACGGCCUUUCCCACCCGCCCCCAGGGACCUUUGCCGGGCCAAGCAGGGGAAACUGUCCUCGGGAUCCUCCCCAGCCGGCUUCAUCUUCGGGCAGCUCCUCUUGUUAAAGGGCCCCCCUCCCGGGUCUGCCCAGAGGGGUUCCAGUAUUAUGAGGGUCUCCGCUGCGGCAGAGGCCGUCGGAGAAUUGCCACCCCUUCCUCUGCCAAUAAACCAUUAGGCUCUUAGUUGGCCCUCCUCCU